GAUGAACGCUGGCGGCGUGCCUAAUACAUGCAAGUCGAGCGAACAGAUAAGGAGCUUGCUCCUUUGACGUUAGCGGCGGACGGGUGAGUUACACGUGGAUAACCUACCUAUAAGACUGGGAUAACUUCGGGAAACCGGAGCUAAUACCGGAUAACCUAUUGAACCGCAUGGUUCAAUAGUGAAAGGCGGCUUUGCUGUCACUUAUAGAUGGAUCCGCGCCGUAUUAGCUAGUUGGUAAGGUAACGGCUUACCAAGGCAACGAUACGUAGCCGACCUGAGAGGGUGAUCGGCCACACUGGAACUGAGACACGGUCCAGACUCCUACGGGAGGCAGCAGUAGGGAAUCUUCCGCAAUGGGCGAAAGCCUGACGGAGCAACGCCGCGUGAGUGAUGAAGGUCUUCGGAUCGUAAAACUCUGUUAUCAGGGAAGAACAAAUGUGUAAGUAACUGUGCACAUCUUGACGGUACCUGAUCAGAAAGCCACGGCUAACUACGUG
rnacentral:rRNA from 1 species